rnacentral:rRNA from 1 species
UGGCGACGGGUGAGUAACGCGUGGAAAACCUGCCGUAUACUGGGGGAUAACACUUAGAAAUAGGUGCUAAUACCGCAUAAGCGCACAGCUUCGCAUGAAGCAGUGUGAAAAACUCCGGUGGUAUACGAUGGUUCCGCGUCUGAUUAGCUAGUUGGUGAGGUAAAAGCCCACCAAGGCAACGAUCAGUAGCCGGCCUGAGAGGGUGAACGGCCACGUUGGGACUGAGACACGGCCCAGACUCCUACGGGAGGCAGCAG